CCGACGGUGAGUAACACGUAUCCAACCUGCCGUCUACUCUUGGACAGCCUUCUGAAAGGAAGAUUAAUACAAGAUGGCAUCAUGAGUCCACAUGUUCACAUGAUUAAAGGUAUUCCGGUAGACGAUGGGGAUGCGUUCCAUUAGAUAGUAGGCGGGGUAACGGCCCACCUAGUCUUCGAUGGAUAGGGGUUCUGAGAGGAAGGUCCCCCACAUUGGAACUGAGACACGGUCCAA
rnacentral:rRNA from 1 species